CGCGUGUGUGCGGCUUGGUGCGGGGCUCACGGCGGAGCCGUUCCCAGACCUCUGCCCUAGCCUUGAAGCCGGGGCACAGGCAUCAGCUGUGUCUGAAGUUUAAACUCAUCCCUCUGUCCUCCCUCCACGAGCCAUCCCGAAUACAGGAUGAACCAGUAUGUCACAACAACAAGGUGGGUACAGCUUAUUACCCGAUUCUUCAGCCAUGGACACUGAGUCUGUGGGCAGAGAGCAACUGAGGAACACAAUUUCACUGCUGCACAGAUUGAGUCCCUAAAGUCAACCAUAAGCUGAUGUUAUUGUAAGCAUGAAACACAUUCCAUUAUAUACAAAAAUUCUUUGAGCUUCAGUUCAUUUUAAGGUAACUGAUUUUCCAAAAUUGAUGACUUCCUAUGCUGGUUUAGAGGAGUAGAAGUCAUGCAAAAUGUAACUGUACAAACCUUUUUCUCUGGGAAGGCCAGUAAGGACGAGAGAGGCAGGAAUUUUCUUGUCAGUAACUGGAUGCAGGAGCGAUGCGUCAUCACUUUGUAAAGAUGGCAUAUCACAGUCUAGCACUUGAUUGUAUAUUCCUAAUUUAACUGAACUUUUAUCUUCUCAGAGUCCAGCUACAAUCCAGACUAAAUUACCUUAUAAUGUUUUGAAAAGACAUGUGAAAAUGUAUCAUUUAUAGUGUGUGAAAACAGCCAUGAGUAAAAAGGAAAAAAUCUAUUGAGAAUUGAUUCAGGUACUUAUUUUAAGAGGGAAUAAAUUUUAAGUAUGUGUAUAUAAUAAUCUCAGAUGCAUCUAUGAAGUAAUUAAUUAGUAGGCAUUUUAUACCAUCUGACAGUGAUUGUAGCACUGUGAUUGGAUUGUUUCUAGACAGGAAAUAGAAAUCUUAUUAAUUGCCAAGCCUAAGGUGAAGUGCAGGUCUCAACAUAUUCUAAUGUUUUACCCCAACUACAUGAAAAAUACUUAUGCUGAUUUUUUUUUUCUGGUCCACUGCCACUCCAUCCUGAAACUAUGUUUUUCACCUUUCUUCAGUACAAGACACACAAACUGUUCUUUGAAGGAAAGGACAGUCACCUUUUGUAUAACCACCAGGACACACCAUUGCUGCCUGCAUUUCACCCAACCUCUACUCCAGCGUUAAUACCCAGUCAGUUAUUUCUCCAGCUGUUCCACAAAUGCCUUCUAUUUCCUUAAUAAAUGUGUUUCUGCACUGCA